UAUAUUUGUUUUACAGGUGUGAGUUACAAGCCACCAUUUAAAUUUUGCCUGAAAUGGAAAACGACGCGAGGAGGUCCGUAUCUUAACCGGUCAGAAAACGAGCGAAAACGCUAAUCCAAACGGGGCCUAAGUGUUUUCCACUAGCACAUGGAAACCCACCGCUUUAUCUAGACCUUCCGUAUAAAAAAUGACCUUCUCAAUCUAACACGCAUCCCUCCUGCUCCGUCUACAGCCUCCUGCGCGGCCACGGCUCCCUGCUCCUCCACCACCAUCACCACAACCUCUCUCCUACCCUUCCUCUCUUUUCUCUUUUCUUUCCCUGGCGGACGAGAUGUGUUGUGGACGGCGGCGAUGUAAGAAAGCCGGGAGGUAUGCCGAUGGACAUGCCAGGCAACGUUUGCUGCGCAAGGAUAGGGUAGCAGAUGUGCCGGUGCGAGAUCUACGCUUCACUACGGAGGCCGUGGCGAUCAAACAGACGGUAGGUGGGACCUCGCUGGGGCCGGCAAUACGGCGUUAUUGGCCUCUGCGACACACCAUCAUAUCCAUAGAAGGCAGGAAAAGGGCAGGCGGAACGCGGUUUGCGGAGACGAUUGUCGUGGAGGCAACAUGUGUGGGGUGGUGAGCCAAAACUAUUCAGGGCUUUACAUGUUCUUUGGUAAGUAAUUGGACCAGUUAUGCAUGCUUCUUCAUGGAUACCAACGGUGGCUCCAAGUAAUGAAAUAUGAAGAUUUGUUUAUAUUUUGUUAGCUGAUAUCUAUAUCCACACAGCUAAAUAGCUUAAUGCAACGAGUUGCCUCUC